UUUCCGUAGGUGAACCUGCGGAAGGAUCAUUAAAGUUAUAUACAACCGGCCCUCUGGGCUGGUUUCUUAUAUCCCACCCUUUUUUUUUUACACCUUGGUUGCUUGGGCAGGCCUGCCCUGGGGCUGCUGGCUCCGGCCGGCUCCCGUCUGCCAGAGGACCUAAACUCUGUUUGUAUAUGAAGUCUGAGUACUAUAUAAUAGUUAAAACUUUCAACAACGGAUCUCUUGGUUCUG
rnacentral:misc_RNA from 1 species